UCCGAGUGGGCCUCCAGCCAGGCCCGUCCAGGUGAACAAAAGGAGGAGCUCCCUCAUAGGUCUAAAGGGCUCUGAGCAGCCUGUGACCUGUCUUCCGGGACUUCCUGUGCCUCUGCAAUGGGGAUGAGGAGGACUUUACCCCCUUCUCCCCGGCUCUUCUGGGGCUGCUGAGCACAUUCACAAUCGCCUUCGUCGCUCGGAGACCUCGCCGGCGGCGACAGGGCAUCUGCUCCGUGCCCGAUGCCGUUGGGAAGCAGAACUGGCCGUGAAAACCAGACUUCGGGGAUGGGGUGGAGACUUCCGCAUGAUCCGCCUCAACAGAAUAUCAAAAGGACCCUGAAGAACCUAAAAAGAGUUACAGACAAAAUUCAAGAGCUUGCGCGGGCACACACACACACACACACACACUGUGGUGAGUAGUGUGAUUUAAAAAAAUAAUUUCCACUACAUUUCCAUCUGUCCUGCAACUCAAGGUAGCCAUCUCAGGAUUCAUACAUCAAGACAUAAAACAAAGGGCGGCUUUGAAGUGGAUCACCUCCGUGUGAACUGCUGCCCGUUACAUGAUAACCGAUCAUCGGCCUUCAAAUUUAUGGCGCUUUAAUGGGGUGAGCCCAGUGCCUUAAAUGGAGGGUGUAUUACGUAUUGAGUUAUCUGGGCUAAAUAAGAAUGAUUUAGAAGGCGCGUCCAGGGCUUCCCAUAGGGUAGAGGAGGCUCAGGCUGAGAGAUCGAGAGAACUCGGGCAGAGAGCGAGCCCAGCUCUGCAGCAAAUAUAUCCCCACUGAGCAAACCCGAAAAGGAGUGGUUUCGGAAUCCCCCAAUAGUAAAGCCAACAGGGAGUGAAGAAUCGUUGCUAUGUUCCAGUGAAUUAACGGAGGUGCCCAGCACAAGUCUUGUCUGCCAGAAAGAGAUGUGUGGGUUUCCGAGGCCCUGGUUUAGGAAAAACAAAAACAAAGAGAGGAGCCAACUACAACCUUAGAAACAUUUGAGAGCAACAGAAGCAACCGGCACAUCAUCGCCUCCCCCUUCUCUUUCAACUUGCCCUGACUCUACCGGCCCAUAAUUUAACUGCGACUGCCGCGCUAGUCACAGCCCAGGCGACUGCCGCCCCCUCCUUCCCCGAGCCCCUCGGUCUUUGACGGCCCCGGCGGGAGAGCG
rnacentral:lncRNA from 1 species